UACGUAGGGGGCAAGCGUUGUCCGGAUUUAUUGGGCGUAAAGAGCGUGUAGGCGGCCAGGUAGGUCUGCUGUGAAAACUCGAGGCUCAACCUCGAGCUGUCGGCGGAAACCAUCUGGCUCGAGUCCGGAAGAGGAGAAUGGAAUUCCCGGUGUAGCGGUGAAAUGCGCAGAUAUCGGGAAGAACACCCGUGGCGAAGGCGGGCUUCUGGCUAAUGACUGACGCUGAGGUGCGAAAGCUAGGGGAGCGAACGGG
rnacentral:rRNA from 1 species